rnacentral:snRNA from 1 species
AGAUGUCAGGGCGAUCUGGCUGCGACAUCUGUCACCCCAUUGAUCGCCAGGGUUGAUUCGGCUAAUCUGGCUGGCUAGGCAGGUGUCCCCUUCCUCCCUCACCGCUCCAUGUGCGUCCCUCCCGAAGCUGCGCGCUCGGUGGAAGAGGACAAUGUCCCAGGUAUAGAAGGAGUGUACCGAGGUCUCCAGUCUUCGGUCCUGGGUAUAUGACCCUGGGUAUAUGGAGGUUCCCCUGCUAGAACUUCCAAACAAGCUCAAAGAUGUGGUUCUCAACCAUUGGUUCUCCAUCUGUUUUGGAUUUUUACUCCCAAAAAUCUCAGCUAGC